rnacentral:lncRNA from 1 species
CUGGAGUUUUGCUAAUGACAACACCCAGGGGGGUGACACACCUGGCAUACCGAUGCAUGAGAAAGACUUCGUACAUCUCCCUGAUGGAUCGUUUCAUCUGCCAGAAGGCGUGAUCGUUUCUGCAACCCAAGAAGCAAAAAUUUUGAACAACAAAAAACCAACGCUCGUAUGGAAGGAUACAGCUCAAGCGAUAUGGGGUACAGAUGGCCUUGUCAACAGGAGCGAUAGUGGCAUUGCUUCACCCAAGCAAAGAGCAGCUUGGGAGCUGCCAAAGCAGCCACUUACCCCUAAAAAAGUGAACGUUGUGACAAGUAUAAUGGAAAUAUUUGCUUUUUAUAUAUAUAUUCCUGUAACCUUGAAAUGUCUGUAAUGGCAUAUCAUGUGUCUAGAUUUUGGCUUUCUCUACAAUAUUCUUAGUUUUCUUGCAUUUUGCUAACAUUAUUGAACCUUAUGCACCGCUGUGCCUUUUUUUGUUUUGCAACCACAGUCCGCUACUGGGGCCAGCUGAAAGGUGAAGACACCACUGCAACUGUGGCCUCAAUAACAAAACUACUGUCUGAAAAAAUUCAAGGUGGGAGAAAAUCGCACAAGAGACUGGCGCAAUCAAACGAAAAGCUUGAUCUGUAGGAUGUCAAUAAAUGAACUUUAUCAAUGAAGUGGCCUAACUGCCCUUGUUUAGCAGCAGUUCUGAAUGCAAGUGUGCCAAUGGGCACCUUGAAUGUAUGGGGCUGCUGCCAAUAAUAGUGCUCACUGGUUCCAGCUGGUCCCAGUGGGGGCUGGGACCACUACCAACUGGUCCCAGCUGAACUGAUUCCAGCUGGUCCUAGUGGGGGCUGGUACCAAUACCAACUGGUCCCAGCUGAACUGGUUCCAGCUGGGACCACAACCAACUGCGAAUUUCACCAUAAGCCAGU